rnacentral:rRNA from 1 species
GAGGAGCUUGCUCUUCAAAUCGAGUGGCGAACGGGUGAGUAACGCGUGAGGAACCUGCCUCAAAGAGGGGGACAACAGUUGGAAACGACUGCUAAUACCGCAUAAGCCCACGGCUCGGCAUCGAGCAGAGGGAAAAGGAGUGAUCCGCUUUGAGAUGGCCUCGCGUCCGAUUAGCUAGUUGGUGAGGUAACGGCCCACCAAGGCGACGAUCGGUAGCCGGACUGAGAGGUUGAACGGCCACAUUGGGACUGAGACACGGCCCAGACUCCUACGGGAGGCAGCAGUGGGGAAUAUUGCACAAUGGGGGAAACCCUGAUGCAGCGACGCCGCGUGGAGGAAGAAGGUCUUCGGAUUGUAAACUCCUGUUGUUGAGGAAGAUAAUGACGGUACUCAACAAGGAAGUGACGGCUAACUACGUGCCAGCAGCCGCGGUAAAACGUAGGUCACAAGCGUUGUCCGGAAUUACCGGGUGUAAAGGGAGCGCAGGCGGGAGAACAAGUUGGAAGUGAAAUCCAUGGGCUCAACCCAUGAACUGCUUUCAAAACUGUUUUUCUUGAGUAGUGCAGAGGUAGGCGGAAUUCCCGGUGUAGCGGUGGAAUGCGUAGAUAUCGGGAGGAACACCAGUGGCGAAGGCGGCCUACUGGGCACCAACUGACGCUGAGGCUCGAAAGUG